rnacentral:rRNA from 1 species
AGUGAACGCUGGCGGUAGGCCUAACACAUGCAAGUCGAACGGCAGCACAGUAAGAGCUUGCUCUUACGGGUGGCGAGUGGCGGACGGGUGAGGAAUACAUCGGAAUCUACUUUUUCGUGGGGGAUAACGUAGGGAAACUUACGCUAAUACCGCAUACGACCUACGGGUGAAAGCAGGGGAUCUUCGGACUUUGCGCGAUUGAAUGAGCCGAUGUCGGAUUAGCUAGUUGGCGGGGUAAGCGCCCACGAAGGCGACGAUCCGUAGCUGGUCUGGGAGGAGGAUCGCCCACCUGGGAAGGUGGACGCCGUCCUGGCUCCUACGGGACGCAGCAGAGUGCAAUAUUGGACAAAAGGGGGAAGCCUUAUACAGCCAUACCGCGCCGGAUGAGUAGACCGUCCGGGUGGAAAGACGUUUUGUGGGGAAAGAACAGCAGCAAGUUACUACGCAGCUGUUCUGACGGUAGCCGGAGAAUAAGCACCGGCUAACUUCGUG